CUACAAUGGCGGUACAAAGAGAAGCCAACUCGCGAGAGCGCGCCAAUCUCAAAAAGCCAUCCUCAGUUCGGAUUGGAGUCUGCAACUCGACUCCAUGAAGUUGGAAUCGCUAGUAAUCGCGGAUCAGCAUGCCGCGGUGAAUACGUUCCCGGGCCUU
rnacentral:rRNA from 1 species